GACGAACGCUGGCGGCGUGCCUAAUACAUGCAAGUAGAACGCACAGUUUAUACCGUAGCUUGCUACACCAUAGACUGUGAGUUGCGAACGGGAGAGUAACGCGUAGGUAACCUGCCUGGUAGCGGGGGAUAACUAUUGGAAACGCUAGCUAAUACCGCAUAAUAUUGAUUAUUGCAUGAUAAUUGAUUUAAAGAUGCUAUUUCAUCACUAUUAGCUGGACCUGCGUUGUAUUAGCUAGUAGGUGAGGUAACGGCUCCCCUAAGCGACGAUACAUAGCCGAGCUGAGAGGGUGAGCGGCCACACUGGGAAUGAGACACGGCCCAGACUCCUACGGGAGGGAGCAGUAGGGAAUCUUCGGCAAUGGACGGAAGUCUGACCGAGGAAAGCCGGGGGAGUGAAGAAGGUUUUCGGGUCGUAAAGGUCUGUUGUAAGAGAAGAACGGGUGUGAGAGUGGAAAGUUCACACUGUGACGGUAUCUUAACAGAAAGCGACGGCUAACUACGUG
rnacentral:rRNA from 1 species